GCGGAUACGUCCGCAAGGGAUGUGGCCCGCAGGGGCUGAACCACAAA
rfam:Thorarchaeota archaeon SMTZ1-83 WOR1_30_36_10537, whole genome shotgun sequence.